rnacentral:rRNA from 1 species
GGGUUGUGAGGUUAAGCGACUAAGCGUACACGGUGGAUGCCCUGGCAGUCAGAGGCGAUGAAGGACGUGCUAAUCUGCGAUAAGCGUCGGUAAGGUGAUAUGAACCGUUAUAACCGGCGAUUUCCGAAUGGGGAAACCCAGUGUGAUUCGUCACACUAUCAUUAACUGAAUCCAUAGGUUAAUGAGGCGAACCGGGGGAACUGAAACAUCUAAGUACCCCGAGGAAAAGAAAUCAACCGAGAUUCCCCCAGUAGCGGCGAGCGAACGGGGAGGAGCCCAGAGCCUGAAUCAGUGUGUGUGUUAGUGGAAGCGUCUGGAAAGGCGCGCGAUACAGGGUGACAGCCCCGUACACAAAAAUGCACAUACUGUGAGCUCGAUGAGUAGGGCGGGACACGUGGUAUCCUGUCUGAAUAUGGGGGGACCAUCCUCCAAGGCUAAAUACUCCUGACUGACCGAUAGUGAACCAGUACCGUGAGGGAAAGGCGAAAAGAACCCCGGCGAGGGGAGUGAAAAAGAACCUGAAACCGUGUACGUACAAGCAGUGGGAGCCUCUUAAUGGGGUGACUGCGUACCUUUUGUAUAAUGGGUCAGCGACUUAUAUUCUGUAGCAAGGUUAACCGAAUAGGGGAGCCGAAGGGAAACCGAGUCUUAACUGGGCGUUAAGUUGCAGGGUAUAGACCCGAAACCCGGUGAUCUAGCCAUGGGCAGGUUGAAGGUUGGGUAACACUAACUGGAGGACCGAACCGACUAAUGUUGAAAAAUUAGCGGAUGACUUGUGGCUGGGGGUGAAAGGCCAAUCAAACCGGGAGAUAGCUGGUUCUCCCCGAAAGCUAUUUAGGUAGCGCCUCGUGAAUUCAUCUCCGGGGGUAGAGCACUGUUUCGGCAAGGGGGUCAUCCCGACUUACCAACCCGAUGCAAACUGCGAAUACCGGAGAAUGUUAUCACGGGAGACACACGGCGGGUGCUAACGUCCGUCGUGAAGAGGGAAACAACCCAGACCGCCAGCUAAGGUCCCAAAGUCAUGGUUAAGUGGGAAACGAUGUGGGAAGGCCCAGACAGCCAGGAUGUUGGCUUAGAAGCAGCCAUCAUUUAAAGAAAGCGUAAUAGCUCACUGGUCGAGUCGGCCUGCGCGGAAGAUGUAACGGGGCUAAACCAUGCACCGAAGCUGCGGCAGCGACACUAUGUGUUGUUGGGUAGGGGAGCGUUCUGUAAGCCUGUGAAGGUGUACUGUGAGGUAUGCUGGAGGUAUCAGAAGUGCGAAUGCUGACAUAAGUAACGAUAAAGCGGGUGAAAAGCCCGCUCGCCGGAAGACCAAGGGUUCCUGUCCAACGUUAAUCGGGGCAGGGUGAGUCGACCCCUAAGGCGAGGCCGAAAGGCGUAGUCGAUGGGAAACAGGUUAAUAUUCCUGUACUUGGUGUUACUGCGAAGGGGGGACGGAGAAGGCUAUGUUGGCCGGGCGACGGUUGUCCCGGUUUAAGCGUGUAGGCUGGUUUUCCAGGCAAAUCCGGAAAAUCAAGGCUGAGGCGUGAUGACGAGGCACUACGGUGCUGAAGCAACAAAUGCCCUGCUUCCAGGAAAAGCCUCUAAGCAUCAGGUAACAUCAAAUCGUACCCCAAACCGACACAGGUGGUCAGGUAGAGAAUACCAAGGCGCUUGAGAGAACUCGGGUGAAGGAACUAGGCAAAAUGGUGCCGUAACUUCGGGAGAAGGCACGCUGAUAUGUAGGUGAAGUCCCUCGCGGAUGGAGCUGAAAUCAGUCGAAGAUACCAGCUGGCUGCAACUGUUUAUUAAAAACACAGCACUGUGCAAACACGAAAGUGGACGUAUACGGUGUGACGCCUGCCCGGUGCCGGAAGGUUAAUUGAUGGGGUUAGCGGUAACGCGAAGCUCUUGAUCGAAGCCCCGGUAAACGGCGGCCGUAACUAUAACGGUCCUAAGGUAGCGAAAUUCCUUGUCGGGUAAGUUCCGACCUGCACGAAUGGCGUAAUGAUGGCCAGGCUGUCUCCACCCGAGACUCAGUGAAAUUGAACUCGCUGUGAAGAUGCAGUGUACCCGCGGCAAGACGGAAAGACCCCGUGAACCUUUACUAUAGCUUGACACUGAACAUUGAGCCUUGAUGUGUAGGAUAGGUGGGAGGCUUUGAAGUGUGGACGCCAGUCUGCAUGGAGCCGGCCUUGAAAUACCACCCUUUAAUGUUUGAUGUUCUAACGUUGGCCCCUGACCGGGGUUGCGGACAGUGUCUGGUGGGUAGUUUGACUGGGGCGGUCUCCUCCUAAAGAGUAACGGAGGAGCACGAAGGUUGGCUAAUCCUGGUCGGACAUCAGGAGGUUAGUGCAAUGGCAUAAGCCAGCUUGACUGCGAGCGUGACGGCGCGAGCAGGUGCGAAAGCAGGUCAUAGUGAUCCGGUGGUUCUGAAUGGAAGGGCCAUCGCUCAACGGAUAAAAGGUACUCCGGGGAUAACAGGCUGAUACCGCCCAAGAGUUCAUAUCGACGGCGGUGUUUGGCACCUCGAUGUCGGCUCAUCACAUCCUGGGGCUGAAGUAGGUCCCAAGGGUAUGGCUGUUCGCCAUUUAAAGUGGUACGCGAGCUGGGUUUAGAACGUCGUGAGACAGUUCGGUCCCUAUCUGCCGUGGGCGCUGGAGAACUGAGGGGGGCUGCUCCUAGUACGAGAGGACCGGAGUGGACGCAUCACUGGUGUUCGGGUUGUCAUGCCAAUGGCACUGCCCGGUAGCUAAAUGCGGAAGAGAUAAGUGCUGAAAGCAUCUAAGCACGAAACUUGCCCCGAGAUGAGUUCUCCCUGACUCCUUGAGAGUCCUGAAGGAACGUUGAAGACGACGACGUUGAUAGGCCGGGUGUGUAAGCGCAGCGAUGCGUUGAGCUAACCGGUACUAAUGAACCGUGAGGCUUAACCUUACAACGCCGAAGGUGUUU